UGAAAUCUCACCAGGCCCGGACACUGGAAGGAUUGACAGACUGAGAGCUCUUUCUCGAUUCGGUGGGUGGUGGUGCAUGGCCGUUCUUAGUUGGUGGAGCGAUCUGUCUGGUUAAUUCCGAUAACGAACGAGACCCCAACCUGCUAACUAGCCCUCGGGUCCUGCUUCUGUUGGGCCCGACGGAAUGAUUCGCUUCUUAGAGGGACUCGCGGCGCCUAGCCGCACGAAGGGGGGCGAUAA
rnacentral:rRNA from 1 species